AUUGAACGCUGGCGGCAGGCCUAACACAUGCAAGUCGAGCGGAUGAAGGGAGCUUGCUCCUGGAUUCAGCGGCGGACGGGUGAGUAAUGCCUAGGAAUCUGCCUGGUAGUGGGGGAUAACGUCCGGAAACGGGCGCUAAUACCGCAUACGUCCUGAGGGAGAAAGUGGGGGAUCUUCGGACCUCACGCUAUCAGAUGAGCCUAGGUCGGAUUAGCUAGUUGGUGGGGUAAAGGCCUACCAAGGCGACGAUCCGUAACUGGUCUGAGAGGACGAUCAGUCACACUGGAACUGAGACACGGUCCAGACUCCUACGGGAGGCAGCAGUGGGGAAUAUUGGACAAUGGGCGAAAGCCUGAUCCAGCCAUGCCGCGUGUGUGAAGAAGGUCUUCGGAUUGUAAGGCACUUUAAGUUGGGAGGAAGGGCAGUAAGUUAAUACCUUGCUGUUUUGACGUUACCAACAGAAUAAGCACCGGCUAACUUCGUG
rnacentral:rRNA from 1 species